rnacentral:rRNA from 1 species
CCUACGGGUGGCAGCAGUGAGGAAUAUUGGUCAAUGGACGAGAGUCUGAACCAGCCAAGUAGCGUGAAGGAUGACUGCCCUAUGGGUUGUAAACUUCUUUUAUAAAGGAAUAAAACGAGGCACGUGUGCCUUUUUGCAUGUACUUUAUGAAUAAGGAUCGGCUAACUCCGUGCCAGCAGCCGCGGUAAUACGGAGGAUCCGAGCGUUAGCCGGGUUUAUUGGGUUUAAAGGGAGCGUAGAUGGGUUGUUAAGUCAGUUGUGAAAGUUUGCGGCGCAACCGUAAAAUUGCAAUUGAUACUGGCAGUCGUGAGUACAGUUGAGGUAGGCGGAAUUCGUGGUGUAGCGGUGAAAUGCUUAGAUAUCACGAAGAACCCCGAUUGCGAAGGCAGCUUACUAAACUGUGACUGACAUUGAUGCUCGAAAGUGUGGGUAUCAAACAGGAUUAGAUACCCCAGUAGU